UACGGGGGGGGCAAGCGUUGUUCGGAAUUACUGGGCGUAAAGGGCGCGUAGGCGGCCUGCUAAGUCGGACGUGAAAUCCCCCGGCUCAACCGGGGAACUGCGUCCGAUACUGGUGGGCUCGAAUCCGGGAGAGGGAUGUGGAAUUCCAGGUGUAGCGGUGAAAUGCGUAGAUAUCUGGAGGAACACCGGUGGCGAAGGCGGCAUCCUGGACCGGUAUUGACGCUGAGGCGCGAAGGCCAGGGGAGCAAACGGG
rnacentral:rRNA from 1 species